rnacentral:lncRNA from 1 species
UGAUUAAAUAAAUAUUACUUGUUCAGACCGUUAUAUAUAAAAACUUUUACGUUUCUCUGUCAAUUUACUUGAGAAAUCAGAUGUUGGUCUUAUUUGAUUGAAUAUGUGACAGUGUUUUGUCAGUUUUUCACUUAUUUCAUUCUGAAACCAAUCUAUGGGAAAAUGUUUCUUAUUGAUUAAGUUUUCUCUUUGAUUAGAUCCCUAAACGUGAU